rnacentral:lncRNA from 1 species
UGAUUUAUUUUGGCUGAGGUAAAAAUUUGUUUGGUGGCUAACUUGCGACUUCAAAUACACAAUUACACGUCAUCAUUCCAUGUCAUCAUAAACGAGGGAUAUACGAAAGGUCGCCCUCUUCAACAUGAGAUUUUCUUUCUUUUUACACUUUUUUUUUUUUUACCUGAGUUCUUCACUUGUUCUUCACCUGAGUUCUUCUUCAUUUUCGUUGAUGGAUCUGGUUCUAGUAAUUGUUGUUUAU